GGCAGACGGCUCAGUAACACGUAGUCAAUCUAACCUAUGGACGAGGAUAACCUCGGGAAACUGAGAAUAAUACUCGAUAGAUCAUUAUGCCUGGAACGGUUUAUGGUUCAAAUGAAUUUCGCCAUAGGGUGGGACUGCGGUCUAUCAGCUUGUUGGUGAGGUAAUGGCCCACCAAGGCUAUAACAGAUACGGGCUCUAAGAGGAGAAGCCCGGAGAUGGGUACUGAGACACGGACCCAGGCCCUAUGGGGCGCAGCAGGCGAGAAAACUUUGCAAUGUGCGAAAGCACGACAAGGUUAAUCCGAGUGAUUCCUGCUAAAGGAAUCUUUUGUUAGUCAUAAUACCACUGAUGAAUAAGGGGUGGGCAAGUUCUGGUGUCAGCCGCCGCGGUAAAACCAGCACCUCAAGUGGUCAGGAGGAUUAUUGGGCCUAAAGCAUCCGUAGCCGGCUUUGUAAGUUUUCGGUUAAAUCUAUAUGCUCAACAUAUAGGCUGCCGGGAAUACUGCAAAGCUGGGGAAUGGGAGAGGUAGACGGUACUCCGUAGGGAGGGGUAAAAUCCUUUGAUCUAUGGAUGACCACCUGUGGCGAAGGCGGUCUACCAGAACACGUCCGACGGUGAGGGAUGAAAGCUGGGGGAGCAAACCGGAUUAGUUACCCGGGUAGUCCCAGCUGUAAACUAUGCAAACUCAGUGAUGCAUUGGCUUGUGGCCAGUGCAGUGCCGCAGGGAAGCCGUUAAGUUUGCCGCCUGGGAAGUACGUACGCAAGUAUGAAACUUAAAGGAAUUGGCGGGGGAGCACCACAAGGGGUGAAGCCUGCGGUUCAAUUGGAGUCAACGCCAGAAAUCUUACCCGGAGAGACAGCAGAAUGAAGGUCAAGUUGAAGACUUUACCAGACAAGCUGAGAAGUGGUGCAUGGCCGUCGCCAGCUCGUGCCGUGAGAUGUCCUGCUAAGUCAGGUAACGAGCGAGAUCCUUGCCUCUAGUUGCCACCAUUACUCUCAGGAGUAGUGGGGCGAAUUAGCGGGACUGCCGUAGUUAAUACGGAGGAAGGAGAGGGCCACGGCAGGUCAGUAUGCCCUGAAACUCUGGGGCCACACGCGGGCUGCAAUGGUAGUG
rnacentral:rRNA from 1 species